UUGAUUUUUUUACAACUGGAAUUUACAGUGUAAAUUUCUUACAAACUGUAAUUUACAGUGCUACAACACCUCUGUGAACUCUGCAUACUGAAAAAUUAAAGUCUUCAACGUCCCAAAAUCCUACAAGUUUCAUGGUAAAAAAUUGCUAAUGUUUUUCAAGAGUUCCCUGAUUAUUGACAAAAAUGACUCAUUCCUGUGGUUCUCCAGCUACCUGAGCAUGAGCAACAAGUUUCCAUGGCCCGAAAGCAAAAUUACAAAAGAGGGUAUUAUCAACAUUUUUUUUAACAAGGACUAGGAGUCUGAAUGAACCGUCACAAUCUCAAAUACAGUGACAAAUAAAGCCCAAAUCAUCAAUCAACUCCAAUCCUUUAUCAUCUUUGCACCAUCUAUUAGCAACAGUUUCCCCAUUAAAAUGAGAGGUGUGGAUUCUCCUUUGUCCUCCUUGUACUUUCGGUGGAUUGAGAUAAGAUUUUUAUGUGGUUUUGGGUGGUUUUUUAAUAAGGAUGUGGAAAUUCUUAUCCUCACAGAGCUUGAAGUGGACAGCAAAUGCCUCCUCAAAGAGCCAAGUUUGGAGGAGUGAAGGACCCAGUAAUGACCAUAGGAGAGGAAGACAUGUAAACAUUCCUAAGCCAUCUUAAAAUAAACCUACUUGGGACAGUUGCCAGGGAAGCUGAACAGAGAAUAAAAUUACAUCUCUCUAGAAUUCACAAGGUGAAGCCCCUCAUGGGGGAGAAUGGCUCCAGACAGCUGAGACAAGACCAAAAACAAAGGUUAAUAGGAAAGGCACACAUCCUCAAGACAACCUUCCCUUGCCAGGCUGCAGGACAGAGCAACUGUCUCAUCUGGAACUUGACCUCCACACGAGAGUAUUUCUGUUAAUCGAUGUGUUUGUCCUGCAUUGUGCUGCCAGCAGCAGCCACCUCUGAGUCAUUUUCUAACACUACAGAAUGCAACUGUGAAGAAAAAAAUCAACAACUAAAUAAAAGUGUAAGAAGUUACUCAUCUGUCACUGGCAAUUAGACAUGAGAGCCAGAAAAUCCAGAGCUAUUUUGUCCUUUGUACUAGCUCUAGUUAAAAUUAAGCAUUCCUCAAUCAGCCCACUUGCAGCGAGAAGAGAGAAAGCUACUUCUGGUGGACUAGAAACACUAGAAGCAAAAAAGACUUACUGUUUACAAGCAGUAAGUUUUAAUAGCAGCAUUUUGAAAAGGAAAAACUGAAUACUUAUUUUGUAGGUAUUGAUGGUCUGUGUGCAUUGCUCCCUCUAGUGUAAAAGACAGAAAAUCACAACAAACAUUCCCCAAAAAAUCACUGAGAUCAGUAACAAACUUUUUAAAAACAUUAUUCUCUAGUCACAUUUUCCCCCUAAAUAUUUAUACAAUAAUUGCUCAUAUUUUGAUACAAUAAAAUACAUUUUCACAUAGUUUCAAAUGGUGAUGUAAGUCUCACACUUUUAUCAACAGGAAAUGAUCACACCAGAACUGAGCAGUGGAUGUACAAACUUACACCCUGUACUUAUAACUGUAUCACUCCCCAAGAAGCUGGCAAGCCAGAAUGUGGUGUUUCAGUUUUACUUUCCAUUGGAAUACUAAUUUCCACUCUAUUUUGUUUAUUUAUUUCUGAGUAACUAUUUUAAACUUUAACCCAAUCUCACGAGCCACUGGAUGAUACUGGACUUCAUCACAAGAGAGUAUGGAAACAGCAACUGACACUGCAGCAAUCUCCUCUCGACAGGGUCUGGGAAGAAUUCCUGGGAGUUUCCACUGCAUAACCAAACAAAAAUAAACGAGCCUUUCAUGUCAGUUUCAUCAGAAGAAGACGCAGAACAAGCUUAUUUUAAUCAGUACAGUUUUCCAGCUGAUAAUUCUCAUACGUACAUACAGUCCCCUGAAAGAUGAAGGCAGCACAUCUUCCUUUUCCACGAACUGAUGAAACCAUCUCUGAACAGAAAAGUUAUAAAAUAACACUCAGAAAUCUGAGCAAAAUUCGAAAUAGAGCUUUCCCUGAUGAUGUGAUUUUAAAAAAAGUUCAGAAAUAAUUAAUGCUCUUUUUUGCAAAGAUGAGCUCUUUUCCCCCCUGCAAUGUUGCUAGCGUGCGAAGAAACUGAGAACGUAGGAAGCCUUCUGAAGAAUCAUUUUGCAACUCUAUGCUUUCAUUUUUACUGGCACUUGUAUUUCACAGGAAUCAGCAUCCUUAUCAUACAAGUACUGUCGUCUUCCAACUUCUGCUGUAGCUGCAUUUCAGCUUUCCAAGGUCCAAGACAGAAAACAGGUCCAUUUCUCUGUGCACCAAAAUGAGGUUAUGAAUCAUUAUCUAGUUUUACACAUACAAAAUCUGAGUAUCUUUUGUGGAACCAAUCUGAAAUAAAAUCUGAUGCAGUGUAUUUUUUUUUAAUACCUUUAACAGAGUCCUCAUGAUGACAAGUGGUUCUACUGUCUCAACACUGCCCAAAUUAGGCUCCAAUCCCUUUAAAGAAGACCAUGAUUAUAUCUCAGAUCCUUGAAGUCAUUGUAUUAAAUGCAAACCACCAGAUUUAAUUUUUCUAACUGAUGUAGCUGUUGAGGCCAUCAGAGCAGCACACUUCAGUGAUGGUCCUUCCAGAGUACCUGCCAUCACUGCUCUCCCUAAAGCUGUGUCUGCUGUCAAGCCUGAGAAAACGGUUUGCUUCAUCAUUUGUGAAGUUUAUCCAACUCAUCAUCCCUAAUUACCAGGGUCCAUCACAGGCAACUGGUCUCAGCUAACUGCAACACCUCCUGUGCAAAGGGCUCAGUCAGGACAAUGCUGGGUGCCACAGGAGAACAUUCAGCUUCUUGGCCCAGUGCCUCUGCAACAGCUCAGUCAUGGAGUAAGAAAAUGGGCACUGCAGCAAAAUCUCAGGGGCUAAAUUCAGGACAAAAUUUACAGUUGAGAAAGAAAUUUUAUUUCAAGCUUCUACGGGGGUAUUACAAACAAUAGAGAAUAAAAACAUUAAAAACUAUUUAAAAAGUAAUUGUCCCUUUAAAAUAAAGAUUCAAGCAGGUUUAACAAUGAAGUAUGCUAUUCAAUGAAGUUUUAAAAAAAAGAUUUAAAAAGUAUUGGUUUUGCUGUAUUUGCUAAUCCUUUAUAAAAAAGCUGGGCAUAAAUACUUCGUGCAUUCAUAUGCAUUAUUUGGUGUUUCAUAUUAUAUAACUUGGUACAGUAUUUACGAUAUCACUGCAAAAGAGUUCAAACACAGUGCAUUUAUAAAUAAUGGAGCCAUUAUAAAUCACAUUGCAAACAUACCUUGCCAUUUUCAUUGUUACAAAUUCAGUAUCUCAGUGAAGGUAGGAAUAAAGUAGCUACAACAAUCAAUAUCUUGACUUUAUUUUUUUUCUUUUUAAUAUAAAAAUGCAGUUCUGGAAACCCACCCUCCUUCUUCCCCCUGCCCAAACAUAAUGCUUUACUUCUUAAAAAUAAAAAUAAAGUACUAAUUCUAUAUACAUCACAUGUACCAUACAAAAAUGUAUCCAAAGUUUCUAUUGCUACCAAAGUGUUCUAAAUUAAAAGUUACAUAAAUCCCCUCAUUGGAAACAAAAGAUUACAAGUUACCAAAAAACCGAAUUACACACAAACCAUCGAGUUAUUUUAUACAAUUUCCAAUACAUUUUUCUCCCAAAGCAAGUUGUCUUCUCAUGUGCCUGUAUAAAAAUGCAUAUCAAUAUAUUUGUCAAUUUUAUUUUUCAUUAUAAAGCAAAUUAAUACAUUUUCUACAAUAAAUAAAACACAGGGAGGCACACAUAUCAACAAAAUUAAACCAAUGGGAGAUAAAUGGGAUAUGGUUUUGAAAGAAAUAAUGUGCUUGCAGGCUUUAAGCCAGGUUUGUUUAAAACAGUAAGAACCUUAAGUAAUUUUGGGCAACAAUGGAGUGUUUUUGGUGAUUUGCAAGUGAUGUACAUAGUAUAAUUUUUAUUGAUGUCUUUCUCACAAAGUACCCUCCAAAAUAACGCAACUUCCUUUCUUAAAAUACAUAUUUGUAAUUGUAAAUUUACAUCAAUCUUAAAUAUGCGGUACUUUGUGCAAAGAG